CGGCUUGUAGUUCAGUGGUAGAAUACUCGCGUUGCAUAGCAACGUACGAGAGGUCCGGUGGUUUGAUUCCCCGCGAGUCCG
rnacentral:tRNA from 1 species